GAUGAACGCUGGCGGCGUGCCUAAUACAUGCAAGUCGAGCGAACAGAUAAGGAGCUUGCUCCUUUGACGUUAGCGGCGGACGGGUGAGUAACACGUGGGUAACCUACCUAUAAGACUGGAAUAACUCCGGGAAACCGGGGCUAAUGCCGGAUAACAUUUAGAACCGCAUGGUUCUAAAGUGAAAGAUGGUUUUGCUAUCACUUAUAGAUGGACCCGCGCCGUAUUAGCUAGUUGGUAAGGUAACGGCUUACCAAGGCAACGAUACGUAGCCGACCUGAGAGGGGGAUCGGCCACACUGGAACAGAGACAGGGCCCAGACUCCUACGGGGGGCACCAGUAGGGAAUCUUACGCAAGGGGGGAAAGCCUAACGGAGCAAAGCCGCGUGAGGGAUGAAGGUGUUCGGACCGUAAAACUCUGUUAUUAGGGAAAAACAAAUAUGUAAGUAACUGUGCACGUCUUGACGGUACCUAAUCAGAAAGCCACGGCUAACUACGUG
rnacentral:rRNA from 1 species